UAGACAUGCCCCUACUCGCAAUAUAGCGAGUAGGAGCAGAUUAAUUACUAAUACUAAAGUUGGCUGAAAGACGCAGAUGCAGCACAGAUCAGAUCGGAAUGUAAUAAAUUCUAAUGAAAUUUUGAACUGAAUCAAAAGUAUCAAAUAUCAUUCUAACAUGAAUGAACAAACUGUUCUCAUUCUGUUAGUGUGAAAUUCAGUAGUUUCGCCAGCAUCCUGUUCGGGAAACGUGAAAGAGGCAUCACUAGAUCACAGAGGAAAGGGUGAGUAUUGUGGGGAAAUUUCUCUGACCCACAGGAAAUGGGUCAGAGCGGAUCAAGCGUAGGAAAAAUACAUACGACCUAGUAGUCUCUACUUUGUAUUAUGUUUUAAAGAAUACUAGAGC